rnacentral:lncRNA from 1 species
AUGAGAUGGAAUCCAUGUGGAGUUUAUGGGAGAAGGAACAUAUGUCCAGUGAGACAUGAAUGAUAAGAGUGCCAACCCAUCUGAGUUGAGUGCUGCAGAAACGGAAUAAUAAUAAUAAUAAUACAAAUGCAAGAAGAGAAGGCACAGUCUCAUCAUCAUGGUUGGUUAAUGGUUGGUGGUUGAAGUUGAGAUCAAAUCAAAAGAAGAAACAAGUGAGUGGUGUUGUGUUGCAAAGCAAAGAGAGGAAUGUUAAUAGGAAGCGGUGGUGUUUGUCUGUAGUAUCUGUUCCAUUGCCAUUGGUUUGCU